rnacentral:rRNA from 1 species
ACUCCUACGGGAGGCAGCAGUGAGGAAUAUUGGGCAAUGGAGGCAACUCUGACCCAGCCAUGCCGCGUGCAGGAAGACGGCCCUAUGGGUUGUAAACUGCUUUUAUACAGGAAGAAACACUCGUACGUGUACGAGCUUGACGGUACUGUAAGAAUAAGGACCGGCUAACUCCGU